UACGGAGGGUGCGGGCGUUAUUCGGAAUUACUGGGUUUAAAGGGUGCGUAGGCGGCUAAGUAAGUUGUCAUUGAAAGGCUACAGCUCAACUGUAGUAGUGGUGGCGAUACUGCUUAGCUAAGAACAUGGGAGGGGUACUUGGAAUGUGUGGUGUAGCGGUGAAAUGCGUAGAUAUCACACAGAACACCAGAGGCGAAGGCGGAGUACUAGACCAUAGUUGACGCUGAGGCACGAAAGCGUGGGGAUCAAA
rnacentral:rRNA from 1 species